rnacentral:rRNA from 1 species
GGUUGAUCCUGCCAGUAAUCAUAUGCUCAUUUCGAAGACUAAGCCAUGCAUGUUUAAGUAUAAGUUGAAUACAACGAAACUGCGAAUCGCUCAUUAAAACAAUUAUAGUUUUUGUGGAUAAUUUCUACACGGAUCAACUGUGGUAAUUCUGGAGCUAAUACGUGACUGAACAUCCAUUUGGAUGUCACAUAUUAGAUGAGAAUCAAACUGUGUAAACAGAAUCUGAUGAUCCAUAAUAAGGUCGUGAAUCGCAUGGUGAAUGCCGGCGAUAUUCCACCUAGGUUUUUGACUU